rnacentral:rRNA from 1 species
UGACCUCAGAUCAGAUAAGAUACCGCUGAACUAGCAUUCAUA